UUUAAAUUAUCUCAGGUUUAUAUAAUCUCAGCUUUAAAUUAUCUCAGGUUUAAAUGAUCGCAGGUUUGAAUUAUCUCAGGUUUAUAUAAUCACAGAUUUAAAUGAUCACAGCUUUAAUUAAUCACAGCUUUAAAUGAUCGCAGGUUUAUAUAAUCGCAGGUUUAAAUUAUCUUAGGUUUAAAUGAUCGCAGGUUUAAUUGAUUGCAGUUUUAAAUGAUCGCAGGUUUAAAUGAUCGCAGUUUUAAAUGAUCGCAGGUUUAAAUGAUCGCAGGUUUAUAUGAUCACAGGUUUAAUUAAUCACAGCUUUAAAUGAUCGCAGGUUUAUAUAAUCGCAGGUUUAUAUGAUCGCAGGUUUAUAUGAUCGCAGGUUUAUAUGAUCACAGGUUUAAAUGAUCCAGUGCAAAUAUUCAGGUUUAGCCGAAGCAAUUAUAUAA
ensembl:lncRNA